rnacentral:rRNA from 1 species
UACGUAGGUGGCAAGCGUUGUCCGGAUUUACUGGGCGUAAAGCGUGCGCAGGCGGCUCCUUAAGUCAGAUGUGAAAGCCCCGGGCUUAACCUGGGAACUGCGUUUGAAACUGGGGAGCUAGAGUGUAGAAGAGGGGGGUGGAAUUCCAGGUGUAGCAGUGAAAUGCGUAGAUAUCUGGAGGAACACCGAUGGCGAAGGCAGCCCCCUGGGCUAACACUGACGCUCAUGCACGAAAGCGUGGGGAGCAAACAGG